CGAACGCUGGCGGCGUGCUUAACACAUGCAAGUCGAAUGGAAAGGCCCUGCUUUUGUGGGGUGCUCGAGUGGCGAACGGGUGAGUAACACGUGAGUAACCUGCCCUUGACUUUGGGAUAACUUCAGGAAACUGGGGCUAAUACCGGAUAGGAGCUCCUGCUGCAUGGUGGGGGUUGGAAAGUUUCGGCGGUUGGGGAUGGACUCGCGGCUUAUCAGCUUGUUGGUGGGGUAGUGGCUUACCAAGGCUUUGACGGGUAGCCGGCCUGAGAGGGUGACCGGCCACAUUGGGACUGAGAUACGGCCCAGACUCCUACGGGAGGCAGCAGUGGGGAAUAUUGCACAAUGGGCGGAAGCCUGAUGCAGCAACGCCGCGUGCGGGAUGACGGCCUUCGGGUUGUAAACCGCUUUCGCCUGUGACGAAGCGUGAGUGACGGUAAUGGGUAAAGAAGCACCGGCUAACUACGUG
rnacentral:rRNA from 1 species